UACGAAGGGGGCAAGCGUUGUUCGGAAUUACUGGGCGUAAAGGGCGCGUAGGCGGCUUAUCAAGUCAGGCGUGAAAUUCCCGGGCUCAACCUGGGGGCUGCGCUUGAUACUGAUGAGCUUGAAUGCGGGAGAGGAUAGUGGAAUUCCCAGUGUAGAGGUGAAAUUCGUAGAUAUUGGGAAGAACACCGGUGGCGAAGGCGGCUAUCUGGACCGUAAUUGACGCUGAGGCGCGAAAGCGUGGGGAGCAAACAGG
rnacentral:rRNA from 1 species